rnacentral:rRNA from 1 species
UACGGAGGGUGCGAGCGUUGUCCGGAAUCACUGGGCGUAAAGGGCGCGUAGGCGGCUUCUCAAGCGUGUGGUGAAAGUCCGGGGCUCAACCCCGGAUCGGCCGUGCGGACUGGGGAGCUCGAGUUCUGUAGAGGCGGGUGGAAUUCCGGGUGUAGCGGUGGAAUGCGUAGAGGUCCGGAAGAACACCGGUGGCGAAGGCGGCCCGCUGGGCAGAGACUGACGCUGAGGUGCGAAAGCGUGGGGAGCAAACAGG